rnacentral:rRNA from 1 species
UGGGGAAUAUUGGACAAUGGGCGCAAGCCUGAUCCAGCAAUGCCGCGUGAGUGAUGAAGGCCUUAGGGUUGUAAAGCUCUUUCGCACGCGACGAUGAUGACGGUAGCGUGAGAAGAAGCCCCGGCUAACUUCGUGCCAGCAGCCGCGGUAAUACGAAGGGGGCUAGCGUUGUUCGGAAUUACUGGGCGUAAAGGGCGCGUAGGCGGCCUGUUUAGUCAGAAGUGAAAGCCCCGGGCUCAACCUGGGAAUAGCUUUUGAUACUGGCAGGCUUGAGUUCCGGAGAGGAUGGUGGAAUUCCCAGUGUAGAGGUGAAAUUCGUAGAUAUUGGGAAGAACACCGGUGGCGAAGGCGGCCAUCUGGACGGACACUGACGCUGAGGCGCGAAAGCGUGGGGAGCAAACAGGAUUAGAUACCCUGGUAGUCCACGCCGUAAAACGAUGAAUGCUAGACGUCGGGGUGCAUGCACUUCGGUGUCGCCGCUAACGCAUUAAGCAUUCCGCCUGGGGAGUACGGCCGCAAGGUUAAAAACUC